rnacentral:rRNA from 1 species
GUGGGGAAUCUUGCGCAAUGGAGGCAACUCUGACGCAGCCAUGCCGCGUGCAGGAAGAAGGCGCUACGCGUUGUAAACUGCUUUUAACCGGGAAGAAACCCCAGGACGUGUCCUGGGUUGACGGUACCGGAGGAAUAAGCACCGGCUAACUUCGUGCCAGCAGUCGCGGUAAUACGAAGGGUGCAAGCGUUAUCCGGAUUCAUUGGGUUUAAAGGGUGCGUAGGCGGAGCGUUAAGUCAGUGGUGAAAUCCUGCAGCUUAACUGUAGACUUGCCAUUGAUACUGGCGCUCUUGAGUGCGCUUGAAGUGGGCGGAAUGUGCCGUGUAGCGGUGAAAUGCUUAGAUAUGGCACAGAACACCAAUUGCGAAGGCAGCUCACUAAGGCGAUACUGACGCUGAGGCACGAAAGCGUGGGGAUCGAACAGGAUUAGAUACCCGAGUAGUCC